CGCCGCCCUCCUCCUUCCCCGGCGCCGGCCGCCUCCCUCCACUACGCGCCGCUCCUCCUUCCCCGGCGCCGGCCGCCUCCCUCCACCACGCGCCGCCCUCCUUCCCCUGCGCCGGCCACCUACCUCCAUCGUGCAGAUCCACGCCAUCCCCGUACUCCUCCUUCAUCCUGCUGGGAGAUCUCGUGCGCCGCCCUCUGGCAGCCGGUGAUGCUUCCCCGCCACCACUCUGCCUCCUUCCCGAUGGGGCAACGAUGCCGCGCGUACAGGAAGUUCAUCGCCGCCAUCUCAGGCCGUUCAAUGUCGACGUCUUGGACGCGCCAUGCUCCAACGCCAUGGCUUGGGCUUCAGCAGCAAACAAUGGAGCCUACAGGGGGAGCCGCAGGGUUGAGGACGUCCUGUUCGAUAGUACAACUGCUUGCUCGGCCGCCGGUCACUCAAGGAGCUUGUCAUUGCCUACCGUGCAACCAUCAAGCGUGUGCUAAUUGUGACUGAGGUUGCACUGCCCAGCAAUACAGGCAGCAGUUUCACACUACAGGUAAAUGACAUUGCCUCUGUGAGAUAAUUAUCUUGCAAAUGAUCAGCAAGAAGAUUUACAGUUUAUUUAUGUGUUUAUUUAGCUCCACCCAAUACUGUAAAAAUGCAUGAGUCUAAUACCCUGUGGCCUAGCUGACCGAAUUAGCAUGGAAGCUUCUCCUUUCACCAUGAAAUAAAUGAUAGAUUCAACAGUUGCUAGGUAAAUCACAAAUCUAUUUACUACAUGUAUUACUACCCUACAUUCAUGUCGUCAGAAAAGUCCAUGUAUUACUACCAUGGGAGUUCAAAGAAAGGUCAUCUAUAAAAUAGUAUAACUUGUGAGCUUCUUGCAGACUAAUGACGAGUUACUAGAUAAACUUAGGCACCACACCACAGUCCAUUCACUGCCGCAUCCGAGGCUGUUCAAUGAUGCAACAACGAGGUCUGGCCUCCCCCCUUCCUAUUUUCAUGAAGCAUAUUCUGCAAAAAUAUCAGACGCUCUCAACUGAAUAAAAAGUGUGUCGCGCAAGUUCAGAUGUACAUUCUUCACCUAGUCGAGCAGCAAAGUUGUCGCACCAAAUCGAACUUGCUGCUGCACCAUCUCCACCAAGUCGAACUUGCAGCAGCCAGGUACCAUAGUCGCUUAACUUGAUCUCUCUGGUAGCUCAUCCGGCAAGACUGCUCAAUGGUAUGACUUCUUUGCACAAAAUCAGAUCUGGUAGUUUGUCUGAGAGACACAUUUGUUCUGUAUCGUACUGCACCUUGUGCUCCCUUCAUCCCAUCCAUGCUUAGAUGAGAUUUUUCUGUGCAAUCAGACUUGGGCUAGGGUCAAAAAAUUGGUGAUCUUAGUUCUGAAUUGCUGGGCAUGCAACUCCUCGUUUGUUAAUUGCUAAGUGAUAGUCUGAACAAUCGAUAAGGGAGCCGCUGUGCAUUACUAUUGAAACACAAGGUUGUUGCAUUUCUCAAAAAAAAGUCUAAACCAAGGGAGCCGCUGUGCACCAAUCCUCCCCGCCGUGCGGCGACCACCUCUGUCGCCCCGAGUUCCCAGCUGCAUGCAUUCAGGAGCAAGAAAAAAGAGAGAUUAAUUGUCCGUCCACACUGCCUCUCCUCCCAAGUCCACACUAGUUUUAUCACAAAAAGCAGAGGAUGUCUAUUUUAUUUCCUGAAACAAAAAUUAGGUGUUCUCAGUUCAGUACGUGAGCUAUCUCAAGUUCUUGGAAAACAUAUAAACAGUACGGUGUUUGUGCAAAAAAUUCAGACUGUUUUCUAAUUAUACAGCAGUUUACCAUAUGGUAGAAUUGUAGUUGUUCAGUAAAAAGGUUCACUACCCCAACUGGGGGAUUUUCAAUCCGUUUUGUCUUUCUUUUCCAACUGAAAGUUGUAGCAAAUGUGAACUGAAGCUGUUGUGGAGCAAAUUAGGAAUAGUUGCCUACUCUUUUGCCGCUGCUACCUUGCCACCUAGAUUAAUACUACUACUACUACUUAUCGUGUUGCUAAACCUCGUGCUCUGGACAAUUUGUGGGAAAGUCUGGAGGCACAAGUUGCUCCGCGACCGAGGAAGGCCCCGGUGCUUGCCAUGGCUGAAGACGGCCUCCAACCGCCGGGCCCAAAGCAGCCAGCCUUUGUUCGCAUGCGCGUCUCCUUCCUGCGUCACCUAGGUAUGCGCCACCACCCGCCGCGCUCGAUGCUUCCUACUCCCAUAGCCGUCCUCAGUUCAACCCCAUGGCGUCGAGAUGGUCGAGUUAGUCGCGAGCAGCAGUCCGCCGUACCUAGAAACUGGAUUUUUAUCUGCAAAAUCAGUUCACCGUACCUAGAACAACCAGUUCGAUCCAUCUCCUGAUUCUGAAAAUAUGAAUUGCGUUUACUGCCAAAAUUGAUGCUCUAUAGUUCACCAUGUAUAUAUGUCAUCAGUUCAAAAAAGACGUACAGAAAAAAGUUCAAUUGUAUGUGUUAAAACCAAGUUUGGUUUUCUACUAUAUGUCAGAUUAUUACAAAAUACAAUAAAAGAUUUUGCUCAUGUGGCUGUAAGCUCUAACCAUAUGGCAACAAAGAGAAAAAUGAGUAUGAAGUAUUGUUGUUUCCGUAUUGUUAAGUUCAGUAUGUAUUCCAUUUUCAGUACGUAAACAAACACACAGGAUCUUUAUAAGAGCAAAAACUACAAAAUGGAAAUCUGUAAGUUCAACUACAUAUAUUACAACAAUUGAAAAUACAAAAAAUUACAUCAGUUCAAUGACAGAAAAACAUGAGUUCGAAAAGUUUUUGACUCUUGAACUGAUAGCUGAAAGAUACGAUAUGUGUACUGUUGAUAAUCUCAAACAUGUGUUACUCAACUUUAGAAAACAUGUAAAAUUGUUGUGCUGCUUUGCGAUGUCUCCAGCAGUCCUACUUCUCCAUGACGACAAGGACGACAUCGCCAUGCGUGCACGCUCCAACCUGUCCCCUGUCGCAGCCCCACCACUCGUUGCCGAUGCACUCCAACCCGAGGACCACCAUGAUGGAGGUCGCCUCACAGCCUAGCGACGAGUGUUUGUUGGUUUCUCUUUCAUUUACGGACAUCUUGGGCUUGCUGGGUGCAUAAUCAAGAAGCCCAAUCAUCAUCAGGGAUGAAAAAAGGAGAGAAGCACGGGAAGAGGUACUAGUAGAAGAGGAAGAAGUAAUGUGAAAAAUGAGAUAAAUGUGAGAAUAGCAAGUAGUAAAGCAUGAGAGGGAUUCAGAUUUUGUUUUCACAUUCUUGCUGUACACGUACCUUUGGUCUGUAGAUGCACCGUAAUGGAUCUAGGAAGUAUGAAUGGUUAAUACCUCAAUGGUGCACUAUGCAUCUUUGGCAGGUUUUUAUGCAUUUUU